UUUUUUUUUGUUUGUUUGUUUGUUUAACCCAGCCACUUAAUUAUUUCAAUUUAUUUUUUAUUUCAGAAAAUAUAUUAACUUAUCUGAAACUGAAGAUUUCAUUGUACUGUUGGAUAAAAGCAUUGAGUAUGGGGAGCUGCAGAAAUGGAGCUGCACCAGAAGAGGGAAUGAGUUGGGACACUGUCCUGAGGGCCAGUGGAAGACAUGGAAGACAGAGCUGUGGGCUGGUGACCGGGUCCAUAGACAACUCCCAACAUGGCAGGUGAUGAACUAGGUCCAGGGUCCGUCCAUGGGAUCCAGUCAAGAGCAGAAGGGAACUGGGGCCACAAGCAGGCCUGAAGACAGGCACUCCUACAGCAUAGCACAGGACAAGUCUAGGUGCCCAGGUCUGGGCUUGUGCGUCACCUCUGGGCCUAUGGGCAGAAGUGGAGAGAAGUUUCAGGGUAGAAUGGGCAUGGCCAGUAAGGACUGGUAAUGCCCUGGCUGAAUCUGUGAUGACUUUCUGCAGAGUUGCUCAGUUUCAAUUUUGGGAGAUAUUGUUGGUGGAGUUUGUAUGUAGCCUAAUUUUUUGUCCAUCUUUCUGGGAGAGUUAGAGAAAGCUUCUCUUUUUGUACCUGGUUUUUGCCCUGGUGACUUUUCAGUCCAGUGACAAAGAACUUCUUGAAGUGUCUAGACUCCUAGUACUCCUAGAUUGUAAGAGGUAGGUACUUCCAAAGAGGAUUCAGAAUGAAAGAGUUAAGCAUGAAUCUUUCUUUGUUGUUUGUCAAGAUAUCUUAGGAGAUUUUCUUCACUAACUGGUCAUGCUUUGUGAUAUCUGUCUUGUGAAGAAUCUCUCCUAAAUUUUGAACUUCCGUCAGUUUUUAGGAAUUGUUAAAUAAUUAAUAAAGAGUAUUUGGAAAGUCCUAUGAUGGCCUUGUAUGCAUGUGCACAGGUUUUUUUUUUUUUUUCCUUUUAGUAAAAAUGCCUUUUGUUUCUAAUAGCCUACCUCUUUUUCUCUCUAAUUUUUAGUUUUUCCAAACCAUUUAUAUUGUUUUUCUAUUAUAUUGCUUCACUCUAUGAAAGAACAUGGUGUUCUCUCUAUGCUUUCUCUUCUCUUCAUAAAAACGAAUUGCUAAGACAAGAUAUUUGUUCACAUCUGUUCCAAAACUGUCUUCAUUGAAAUCAAUGGUAAAACUCCUAUGUAAGUUCAGUGGAGCCAGGGUGUCAUCAAUCAUUUUGUAUGUCGCUUAGGUUGACAAAUUACACCAUUUUAUUUCCUGAACUGUUUCUUUUCUGUUCAAAAGGAUUUAAGAACUUCUUUAAACAUUUUGAAUAAAUGAAAGUCCUGGAA